rnacentral:rRNA from 1 species
UACAGAGGUCUCAAGCGUUGUUCGGAUUCAUUGGGCGUAAAGGGUGCGUAGGUGGCGCUGUAAGUCAGGUGUGAAAUUUCGGAGCUUAACUCCGAAACUGCAUUUGAUACUGCGGUGCUUGAGGACUGGAGAGGAGACUGGAAUUUACGGUGUAGCAGUGAAAUGCGUAGAGAUCGUAAGGAAGACCAGUGGCGAAGGCGGGUCUCUGGACGAGU